AUUGAACGCUAGCGGGAUGCUUUACACAUGCAAGUCGAACGGCAGCGCGGACUUCGGUCUGGCGGCGAGUGGCGAACGGGUGAGUAAUGUAUCGGAACGUGCCCAGUAGCGGGGGAUAACUACGCGAAAGCGUAGCUAAUACCGCAUACGCCCUACGGGGGAAAGCAGGGGAUCGUAAGACCUUGCACUAUUGGAGCGGCCGAUAUCGGAUUAGCUAGUUGGUGAGGUAACGGCUCACCAAGGCGACGAUCCGUAGCUGGUGUGAGAGGAUGACCAGCCACACGAGAGGUGAGACAGGGCCCAGGCGACUGCGGGAGGCAGCAGUAGGGAAUGUGGGACAAUGGGGGGAAACCUGAUACAACGAUCCCACGUGUGAGAUGAAGACGUUGGGGGUGGAAAGAACUUUUGGGAGGAAGGAAACGACGCGGGCUAAGACGAAGAGGGAGUGACGGUAACUGCAGAAUAAGCACCGGCUAACUACGUG
rnacentral:rRNA from 1 species